rnacentral:rRNA from 1 species
GACGAACGCUGGCGGCGUGCUUAACACAUGCAAGUCGUACGGUAAGGCCCUUUCGGGGGUACACGAGUGGCGAACGGGUGAGUAACACGUGAGUAACCUGCCCACAACUUUGGGAUAACGCUAGGAAACUGGUGCUAAUACUGGAUAUGUGCUCCUGCUGCAUGGUGGGGGUUGGAAAGCUCCGGCGGUUGUGGAUGGACUCGCGGCCUAUCAGCUUGUUGGUGGGGUAGUGGCCUACCAAGGCGGCGACGGGUAGCCGGCCUGAGAGGGUGACCGGCCACAUUGGGACUGAGAUACGGCCCAGACUCCUACGGGAGGCAGCAGUGGGGAAUAUUGCACAAUGGGCGCAAGCCUGAUGCAGCAACGCCGCGUGCGGGAUGACGGCCUUCUGGUUGUAAACCGCUUUCAGCAGGGACGAAGCUUUUUGUGACGGUACCUGCAGAAGAAGCACCGGCUAACUACGUG